rnacentral:rRNA from 1 species
AGUGAACGCUGGCGGUAGGCCUAACACAUGCAAGUCGAACGGCAGCACAGGAGAGCUUGCUCUCUGGGUGGCGAGUGGCGGACGGGUGAGGAAUAUAUCGGGAUCUACUCUGUCGUGGGGGAUAACGUAGGGAAACUUACGCUAAUACCGCAUACGACCUACGGGUGAAAGCAGGGGACCUUCGGGCCUUGCGCGAUUGAAUGAGCCGAUGUCGGAUUAGCUAGUUGGCGGGGUAAAGGCCCACCAAGGCGACGAUCCGUAGCUGGUCUGAGAGGAUGAUCAGCCACACUGGAACUGAGACACGGUCCAGACUCCUACGGGAGGCAGCAGUGGGGAAUAUUGGACAAUGGGCGCAAGCCUGAUCCAGCCAUACCGCGUGGGUGAAGAAGGCCUUCGGGUUGUAAAGCCCUUUUGUUGGGAAAGAGAUCCAGCUGGCUAAUACCCGGUUGGGAUGACGGUACCCAAAGAAUAAGCACCGGCUAACUUCGUGCCAGCCGCCGCAGUAA